rnacentral:lncRNA from 1 species
GGUUUUAUAAGGGGCUUUUCCCCCUUUGCUUGGCACUUCUCUCUUCUGCUGCCAUGUGAAGAAGGAUGUGUUUGCUUCCCCUUCUGCUAUGAUUGUACGUCUCCUGAGGCCUCCGCAGUCAUGCAGAACUCGUUGUGAAGGAGAUACUAUCAUAUCCUUUAACAGCCCUGGUGAUGUUCGCUGCUCUGCACAGCACACGGUGACUACAUCCCAGAUCCAGAGCUGCGGAACUCUGGGGCCACGUCUCCAGCGCCGCAUUCGGCGGCACACGGAGGCCUGAGAAGGCGGGAGGGGUCAGUCUCUGGCUUCGAGUAGCAGCAAUACCAGGACAACCAUAGCUGAGUCAUGUCAAGAUGAACCAUAUGGCAUUACCAUUUUUUCACAGCUAUAUUCAGAUGUGUCAAUGAUGAGGAUUUCCCCAGUUAUCUAGGUGGGUUGAAACAGAAGCAGGUGCUUCAGGCAGUGCCUCAGGAAGCUGGUCACUCACGCUGCUGCCUUUUUGCCUCAUGAGGAAACUCACAGGCCAAGGAACUUCCUCCCGGUACUGAGCUGUGCCAGCCUGGGGAUGGGGUGAUGCAGGCAAAAUUACACUGGUCCCCCUACCCUUUCUGUGAAGUUAUUCUCUCUCUCCUCUCUCUCUGUCUCUGUCUCUCUGUCUCUCUCUCUCUCUCUCUCUCUCGUUCCACUGUGGUGCUGCAACUUCUUGACUUCUGAACGUUCCCAGGGUUAUGUUAGCUUGUGAAUAGCUAAUUGUUGUUUUCUGUUUGGAGGUGCAAAUGAUAGGGUCUUCUACUCUGCCAUCUUUCUGAUGUCAGCUUCUGCUCUUUUUAUUGUUAACCUUAAUAAAAUCAGUUUCUAGUAAAUGCUUGUGUUCAUUUCUGGAAUGAUGCAUCUGCCUGUUUAUGCCACUACACCAUACCUGUAAAAUUAUUCUCUUUAAAACAUAUUAUAAUAUCAAAAACAGAUAAGCCAAAACUUUAUUAUAAUUUUUUGACGUUGUUUUCCAUAGCUACCACCUGUCUAUUAACUUUUGGUCAAAUUAAUGGAGCACUCUAGGCUUCAGUUUGUAUAUUUGUGUAAUAAAAGGACUAAACUACAGCACCUCCAAGUCUCAUUUCAAGUUUAUUC